UGUUUCAGUCUUGUCGCUGCGCAACACACAAGAGGAGGAGCCCCCGGACCCCCAACUGAUGCGGUUGGACAACAUGCUGAUCGCAGAGGGCGUGGCGGGGCCGGAGAAGGGAGGCGGGGCCGGUGCUGCCGCUAACGCCUCGGCCGCCGCCGGAGCCGGGGACUCGGCCAUCGAGCACUCCGACUAUCGCGCCAAGCUCUCGCAGAUCCGACAGAUAUACCACCAAGAACUCGAGAAAUAUGAACAGGCCUGUAACGAGUUUACCACCCACGUGAUGAAUCUGUUGAGGGAGCAGUCCCGCACCCGACCCAUCACGCCCAAGGAGAUAGAGAGGAUGGUGCAGAUUAUACACAAGAAGUUCUCGUCUAUACAGAUGCAGCUCAAGCAAUCCACCUGUGAAGCUGUGAUGAUUCUGCGUUCCAGGUUCCUGGAUGCCAGGAGACGCCGUCGAAAUUUCAGCAAGCAGGCUUCUGAAAUUCUCAAUGAGUAUUUUUACUCCAACCUGUCGAACCCGUACCCCUCUGAGGAGGAGAAAGAGGCCCUGGCACGACGUUGUGGCAUAACAAUUAACCAGGUCUCCAACUGGUUCGGUAACAAGCGCAUCAGAUAUAAGAAGAAUAUCGGGAAGGCCCAGGAAGAGGCUAAUCUUUACGCUGCUAAGAAAGCUGCCGAUUGUACCUUAGCAGGGGCGUCGCCAUACAGCAUGAGUGGGACACCAGGUCCCAUGAUGUCUCCGCCACCAGGGGAAGACUCCAUGGGUUAUGGCAUACCAGGAAUGAAUGGCUCAGGAUACUCAGGCGUAGGGGGCAUGGGCUACGACCUCCAUCCGGAGUCGCCUGAUGUGUAGGCGGCACAUAUACAUCCGCCCACGCCCAGCCCGCCCUCCACCCACACCCUAAACAGCAAUAAGACGCGUGGGCGGUUAGCGGGUUGUGGAGUCCGGGCCGGCGUGGUGGGGUGGCCUGGUUGGCCUUUCUGCUAAUCCUCCUGAAGUAUCAGUGGUGACCAACCUAGGUGCCGGGCUGCCCUCCCCCGCCCCCCCACACUACCUCCCGCGGCCCACCCAUCCUUCAGACACACAGUGCAGGCCGUGUAACUCCGGGUCACCAGCCGCGAUCGGGCUGCAUGUGGCUCUUUUUUUGGGCCUAACCACAUUGUCAUAUGUAGGCCACAUGGGCUGCAUGUGGCCCACCUCAGGCAACAGUGAUCAGAGCUGUCAGCCCAGUGUGCAGGCAGCGGGCCGCCGCCAUACGCCCUGCAGCCGAGCGGGACCAGCGGGGCCCGUCCUGCAGCUGAGCGGGACCAGCGGGGCCCGCCCAGCCCAUAGUAUACGAGAGCCGGGGCGGGUAGCCACCCACGGCCACUCCACACACCACACUGCCGCUACCCACGCCCACCACUCGCCCAUGGGUGACGCUCUCAUGACCCAUAGCGCUACGCCAUCUUGAUAUCCACCUGUCCACGCAGUUGCCCAACCCCAUCCAUCCAUGGUCACACUUCUGUGAGCACACUCAGCCAUAUUACACCUGACAACUGGACCAGUUUCUGUGUUAAGGGUCCAAGCAUAUUCACUUAACUGGAGGAGCUUGUGAUGCAUUAAUCUUCUUGUAUACAAUAUGAAGUACUACUGUAAUGUAAAUAUGAAUGAAUGGGAAGGUCAGCAGGUAACAAAGUAUGUUUUAUAGCCAGUUUUAAAUGUGCGAGACAGAAGGUGCCAUGGGAGGUGAAGGUGGGUACAGUGGUAGUGGACCCUCCCAGUACCAGGGAGCCCCAGAACCAUGUAUACGGUUGGUAUGUGAUAGUCACACUCGUGUUGCUUAUAUGUGUAGGCUUUUAAUAAAGUUUCUGCUGUUUGAACAUUCUUUAAAAAAUACACACAUGUUCCUCAUUGGCGAAUGAGCCAGAUGUACUUUGCGUCACCCCCGGCGAGGUGGGCUACAGCGUGAUUAGCGGCCCUCCCGCCUCGCGUGACCACCCAGGUUGGUGCGGUCCACCAGGCGGUCCGCGGCGACCCGUACAAGCCUCUGUAUCCAUGUAGCAUAGGGGAGUGUGGCCAGUGAGGCCCGGCUGCCCCCCCGGCCCUGCACACGCUCCACUGGGCGGUCCACCCCCACCUUGACGUGGCUAUAGGGCCACAUUGCCCAGUGGGCCCCAUCCAACCCAGUAUACGUACUCUGGACGGCAGCAGCACCAAGAUUGAAAAAGUAAUGGUCAGACCGAACUGGCUCUCAAGAUGUCUGUUUGUUGUUUCAACGCACAUUGAUUGGAUGUUUCUGUUGUUUUUGUUUGUGUUCAAUUGUGUUCUAAUGGGUUGUGUAAUGUGUGUAUGUGCUGGUCUCUGACUGGCUUGAGUUACUGUGUUCUUGAUCUUGUGGAAGUCGGAGGGUGUGGCCUUCCCUUGUCCAUGGAAUUCUUUUAUGGUCUUUGGCUGGCCACACCUGGCCGAGAGGCAGAUGACCACAUUUACAUCAUCACUUUAGCCAACUAAAGUUGCAAGUGUUUGUGAUGUAGGUAUGGUUGUAGGAAAACAACGGUGUGGCGCCUCCCGGCCCAUCCACAGCAAGGCACAGUUGGUGGGGCAGUGCCUUUUUGGCGCUGCCCGAUUGAUGCAGGGUAUUACGUAGGAAAGAUGAGACCACACAGAUGAUCUUGUGAUACACUGGAUAAUGAACACUUAAGGACCUGGAACUUUGAAGUAGGUCUAUUUUUAUAUGGAUAGAUAAGACUUGAAAAUUGAAAUGGGAAAAAAAGAUAGAUGGUCUUGUGUAACUGUAUAUUAUUAGUAUGGAUAGAAAAUUCUAAUAAUACUCUUUACAAUCCGUUUAACAUUUGGUAAUGUUAAGUCCUUUUCCAUACGGUUUGUACGGUAGUGUAAGGGCAGCAUCGGAUCUAGGUGGUGCACCAAUGGUGGCCCAAAAGACCCGAAGCUGUCGAGUGCGCAUGUUUGUAUGGGUAGUGCAGGAGUAGUGCAAGGUAGCUAGACCACAAGUAUACAGUGAUAAUACUGCAGUAUACGAGAAACAAUGUUCUUCAUUGACAAAAGUAUAACUACAAAGAAUAAGCAGAGUAGCCUGCCCUCUUUUCAUGAACUGUUAGCAUUAUUUUGACUCCUGUAGCCAGCUAAAGGGCCGUCAUCUCGUUUCCUGAUUUUUCUGAGCUGCUGAGGUGUACCGUAGUUGUCUCCAUGUAACUUAAAGCUCUCUUCUGUCUCUUCUCGCUGUUCGCUGUAGUGAAUGAUGCAAGAAUAAACCUCCUGUAUUGAAUUCUUAUGAAUAACUGUAAAUGUAUUGCCUAGAUAUACUCUCCAAUACCGUCCUGUACCAAAAUACGUAAUUUUCUCAUAAUUCUUGUAGAGAUACUGUGUAUUUUUGCUGUGUAUUUGUUCCAGUUUUGUAAUAGUAUAUGUAGUACAAUCUCGCUACUUUUUCUCCCCUUUAGGACGGUAUGGGAAAGUCUGCAAAAUUGGUGCAUUCUUACUUACACAUUUUAAGGAAUUUUUUUCAUGUAACCAGUUAUUGUUUUCAUUGUUUAGCCACCUUAUUUAUGCAGGCUGGGUCAUUUUGAGAUACCCCGCCUCAUUUCUAAGAUUACAUUAAUUUCAUUUUGAGCAAGAGUCGAGUGCUUGUACCUUAGAAAUCUAUUGCGGAGGCGAAAGAUAAGUGCUACUUAUGUUUCCAGGCGUUACAAACUGGGCAAAUCAAACUGAGUGCAAGGUAUAAUCCCAUCACCCAUACUCCUGUAGGUCAUUUGUUGCCAACUGCCCUGUGCUCUCAGCUACAAUCCAUUUUCUAUGAGGACCGUUUUUGUAUUAUUGUCCGUUGCCCACUUUGUCUCGUGCCUGGAAGCAUUCCAUUCACUCUCAUUUCACUUAGUUAACUUAACCAUUCUAACCUCUUUGCUAUGUGAGUGUGAAGUACAUGUACAUUACUGUCUUUUGUAUUGUCAUGCAUAAGUUGCAUUGUAAGUAUUUUGGCUACAAGGAAAGCCAGUCCUCAUGAUAUUAAUUACCAUGAUGUUUUGUUGGACUCUGCAGUGAGCUGCAGGUCUAUUUGUGUUUUAAGGUUCAUCUGAAAGCUCAAACUAGAUUAUUUUAUAGUGUCAGGUACAGGAUAUUCUUGGUUGCAUUUACUAAAAUGCUGUAGCCACUACCCGUGACACUGACCCAUUCCUGAAACAGGGCAAUGACCUAGCGAACGCUCAGUGUCACGGCUGCCCGCCAUGGUCCCUCAGUAUACCAGCAGGCCAGUGGCUCAGGGGUAGUGCCCGCUGCUGACGCUUCCUGAUUAAAAAGGAAAUAAUAGUAAGCAUAGAGAAAUAAAUAAAAAAUUUGGUAUACCAUACUGUAAUGUGUCCUUGGCCUUAAGGUGUCACGCAGCGUGCACUACUCCCCUCCCAUGUGGCCAAAGGCAGGGAGGCUGACCCACUGUGCCGGAGACGAAGAAGCACUGUUUAUAUGUACUGUAACAUACAAACUUUUACUAUUAGGUAUGAAUGUUAUCAAAUAAAUGAUUUCAAAGGCUA
rnacentral:misc_RNA from 1 species